GCAUGUUUUCUACCCUUUGCAUGCAUUCAGUCUCAUCCCUUUCCACUAUCCAUCCGCCAUAGUUAUAAUAAAUUAUUACAGACUGAAUGAAUCAGAAAAGAAAGUAAAAAUUACAUCAGCAGCUAUAGCUACAUCCAAACAGCGUAAUUCAGAAACAAAGUCCAACAAUAUGAGAUAAACUACUUCCAGGAUCCGAUUCCAAAAGACCUCAUAUUUCGGGGGGUGUCAAAGUUUCCAAGAGUCUCAAAGGGCUCCGGGUAGUGCUUACACUCCAAAACAUUGCAGAAUCAAGAACAUAGUGUGUGUGGAAAUGCCAGCCCUCAGAUGUCCAAGUUCAGAGGGAACUCAAUGUCCCAAAGAAAGGCUCAUAAGAGAGGGGAAGAACUUAAGAGUCUAAGAAUAGGUGUAAGUGCACAAGGGUAAGGGAAUCAAAGAGGGACAUGGCAGGCUGGUGGUCAUGCCCAGCAAUUGGGAUGCUGGCACACCCCUGAGCAGCCCGCUUGUCAAACAUUAAGAGUUAGGAUCCAUUGUAGAUCAAGCCAUGGCCUGGGCAGUAAUCAGAAUACUGUCAGACCAAAAGCUUAACUCAGCACAUAAAAAGGAAUAUGGGUAGGGGAUUCAUAACAGAAACAGAAACAAAGAAAGGAAAUAUGCACAAAUUACAGAACAUGAGCAGUAAAGUAAACAAGAAGUCUGAAGCUAUAAAGUAAACACAUAGGGGGUGGGUGAGGAAAUAAGAUUUAGAUAAAGAACAUACCGGUUUCAGAGAAAAAUAAAUAAGCAAAUGUAGCCUUGAAAGAGCCAAGUUGUGAACAACACUUUCAAAAAGAUCUCAAACUAAGCAGAAUUGGAAGACAAUAUUGCAAGAAAGUGUAUUUCAGUGUGUGAAUGUAGUUUCGUGUCUUUAUGAUCAUGUGAUAAAGAGGGAGGACUAGGUCCUUAUAUAGUUCUUGAAAACAAGCAGUAGAUAGGCAAAGAGUGCACAAACAUGCAAGUAACAAUCAAUUAGUGUCAAUUAAGACAACUGGAAUCCUUUAAUUAAGGAGUCUAGUUCAAACGGUUAAUCAAGACAGAAUAAGGAAAAGAUAUCGGUUUAAUAAGGCUGAUUAGGGAAAAGAACCACAUAGUGCAUAAACAAAGCCAAAUACAUAGUGGGUAAUUAAGGAAAGUUGAAAUAAUAGUGUCUUUAUAAAGUGAAAAUAAGGUAUUGGUUUGAAAAUCAAUCAAAAAGGGUCCCGGAUCCGAUUGUAAUUACAAAGAACAUUAAGUAAUUAAGGAAAGAGUCAUAGAAAUAAUUCAAAUAUUGGUACAAAAUCACAGAAGCGAUACAAAAGACCAUGUAUUUAAGAAAAACAUUACAAGCAUAGGACUUUUACACAAAAGGAUCAAAAUAAGGAGGUUUAACCGAAGGAAAUCAGUAAAGAAUCAUUAGCCUUAUUAAAGGGAUUUCAGAAUAAGUCACUUGGUUGGUGAAACCUUUUGAAAGAGGAGUUUUUCUCAUAUAAAAAGCAUACAGUUCAAACAAAAUAAAGAGUCUAACAAUGAAAGUUUCAGAGUCAUAAGAAAUAUAGGAUUUCAAAUUUUAAUUACAGACUCAUAACGGGUCUGAAAACCUAGGGUCCCAAAGUAGAACUCUAAUGUGACUUAUCAAAGAAACCCCAAACCUAGGGUUUUGAAUAAAGUGAUAGGUGAGAAGACAUGGUCACUGAGAGAGGCUCAGAGAUCUUUUCAAAACUUCUGAGAGGCAACAUACGUGAUAGCAAACACAUUGAUUCAAAGGCAUGCUUGAGAAAACUUGGAAUUAAAACAAAUUACAGAAGUUUUAAACAAAGUAGGUAUUAAAAAUGCUUAGCAGGAACAUCAAAAAAACUCAGUAAGGUGAAACAAAGUCAAAGAGCACAAACUUAAACACAUAUAGCAAAGAGUGCAGAACAACAACCUAAGUUAACAUGUGAACAUAUAACCAACAAAGUCUUUCACAAUCGGAAAAGAAACAAAAGAGCAAACAAUAAGAGGAAGAACAUACGAGUAUAAACACACAUAAAGAAAGAGCAAAAGAGCCAGAAAACAUUUAAAGAAACGUUUUCCAGAAACCCUAAAAAUCGAACUUGAACAAUUUUAAAAAGGAAAUUUGGGAAAAGCCUUAAGACGUCAGCUAAACAUCAAGCAUGGUACAGAUUUAAGAAAAAUAUACAAGUAUAGAACCUUAGAAGGCUUAAAAAAUGGCAGAGAAGACCCUAGAAGGAGAAGGUCUUGAGGAAAGUCGGAUCUUGAGUCGAAGAGACUCAUAUUGCUUUGAACACGUCGAAGAAUGGCCGGACAUGCCAUAGAUCUUGCAGAUCUGAGGAAGAUCUAAAGGAAACCAUGGAAGUCGGACUCCAAUCUUUGGUUAAUUUAGGUCCAACAUCGAGGGAGAGUGGGGUAUAGGCCAUUCAUGGCCGGGACUGCCAUGGAUUCUAGUGGAAAUGAGACGGAAGUAAGCGGAAUAGGGCUAUGGUUUCAGAGAGGACUAGAGAGGGUCUGGGAGGUGAAGGCGGCUAUAUUUGGGUAAAUGAAUUAGGGUUAGGGAGUUAGGGGUUAAAAAAGGAAGGAACAG
rnacentral:lncRNA from 1 species